rnacentral:lncRNA from 1 species
GUUAGAAUUUUUUUUGGCAUACCAGAUUCUGUCUGCUAUCAUCAUAAAUAUUAUUGAACUUUCAUUUUUAUCACCUUGUAAGGACAAAGAGCUUUCAAACAUCAUUUUUUAGAAUGCUGAGAACUCGGCAAAAUAGUUAUAAUUUCUACACAAUGAAGGAGAAAACCCAGGCAAAAUAGCUCAAAUUAUAAAACUAUUUCAGCAAGAACUUAAAAAUAUCAUGUGGUUCUGUUUCCAUCUUUCAAGCAAAAUAGAUAGUACGGUCUCCAUUUUACAGCAGACUCCCCCUUCUGGGCUCAAGCUAUCCUCCCGCCUCAGUCUCCAGAGUAACUGGGAUUACAGGCACAUGCCACCAUGCCCAACUAAUUUUCUUUUCUUUUCUUUUCUUUUCUUUUCUUUUCUUUUCUUUUCUUUUCUUUUCUUUUCUUUUCUUUUCUUUUCUUUUCUUUUCUUUUCUUUCUUCUUUCUUUCUUUCUCUUUCUUUCUUUCUUUCUUUCUUCUCUUUCUUU